GGUAGGGUUACCUUACUAAAAUCACCCAAAAAAAGAAAAAACAAUUUUGAUAGAAAGUUUCCUUGAAUAAAUUAAUUGAGCAUAACCCACGCAACUAACUACUUUCCUUCUAAGAAGCUCUUGUUCUUCAAUAAUGUGUACCCUUCAAUUUCAACUUCAACCCAUCAUCAAUCAAUUUCCACAUAUUCUUUGAAACCCUUCCAAUUCAUCUCUCUCUCUCUCUAUGGCAAUGGCACUUAACGCUGCUAUCUAUAUCGUUAAGAUGACUUGGAUAGCUCUCAGUGGUUGGAUCACUUCUUGCUUAACUAUUGCUGAUGAAUUCGCUACUUCUCUUCGUUCUGGUGAUAUUGGUCCUUUUCAUGUUGGUUAAUUCUAUUUCCCUUUUCUGGGUAUGCUCCAAGUUUUUUAAUUUACAACUACCCUUCAAUCUACACUUCUUUUCAUGUAUUGGGUCGUUGUGAUUAGUGUGUUUCAGGGUGAAAUUUUUGUUUUUUAGUUAGUGGGUGAUGGGUUUGUUAUUUGGGGUUUCCUUAAAAUUGAGGAAUUAGGUUUGGUAAAUUGUUUAAGGUUGUCUGUUAUAGCUUUUUAGGUUACUUGUUAUUAAAAGGGUUUACUCAUAAAUUCAAUUACAAUCAUAAUCCUUUGAUUCUCAGCUCUUAACUUGUUAGUAGUUCAUAUUUGAUUAGAUGAUGGAGUUAUGUAAAUUGGCAAUUUAAAUUGAUUCAUGGAUAUCAUAAGAGUGGUGAUUUACUAUGUUUAUUCAUUUUUAUGUUAUUUAGUUUGUUAAAUAUGUACACUUUGAGGUGUUAGCACAGUGGUAAGAGUUUAGGUUCGUAACUUCAAGAUAUUGAGUUCAAAUUGCCUCGGAUAUAGUUGUAAAAUGGUGUGUCACUUUAAUUAUAUUUUGGUGUAGUAGCUGCAUUGAGUUAGACCAUGAGCUAUCAUAAAUAUUUUUUGAACAAGAGCUAUCAUAAAUAUUGUUUUCUGUAUAUUAUGUUUAGCUUUGAGGGUAAGUUCUGCAAGUGUUCUUUUUUAGUUCUGUAAGUUAAAUAGUCAUGUAAAAGGAAAGAAAGACGGUUAAAUUGAUAUUUGAAGGAUGCCAAUGCUACAUAGACUAUAUGUAUGAGUCAAGAUGUAUUACACAAGAUCCCACUUGGGGUUGGUCUAGUGGUGUUGACUUGGGUCCUUGGAGUAUGCUCCUCCAAGGUCUCAGGUUCGAUUCCCCCUGGUGCCAAUUUUGGUGGGCUAAGUCCAUACAGGGCAAAAAAACUCUGGCUUUAAAUGGGGCCCCGCAAGUGGGCGGUGGGAUUGGUCCCCUUGGAUUAGUCGGGCCUAAGGCCGGAUACCAUGUUUAAAAAAAAAAAAGAUGAAUUACGCAAGACAUUGUUAUGUUGAUAUCAAAUUUGUACCACAAAGUAGAGAAUGAUUAGUGCCCCAAACUAUGUUGUUUCUAGAUCAAUAGGAACUAGACAGAAGGCACUUUGAAAAGCCCCUAUCUUAUGCGAUACCAGUAACACAGCCAUUUCAAGAAAGGGAACCUGAUUAUUGUAACCCCUUUAUUAAUAUCUUAACAGCAUGUAUUCUAUAAACUUAAGCUAUAUGAAACACAGAUACCAACACCGCAAACACAACAUUGAUACUAACACGUAGACACCGAUAGUAAUUUUUAAAAAUGGAAGGGAUUGAAUGUAAUUAAUGUGUCGUAGUCGUGUUGGUGUUAGACACUAGACAUACCUUCAAUCAGUGGUGUCAUUGCUUACAUAGACUAUAAGUCAAGAUGAAUUACAUAAGACACUGUUCUGUCAAUAUCAGAUUUGUGCCACACAGUAGAGAAUGAGAAAGAUAUAAUGCCUCUAAUAGUGAAUUUAGUGUUUGUUUGAGUAUUGAAUUGUUGUAAUAUUGUAUUUGUUUGAGUAGCAAUAUCAGUUUGUUUGAACAUGACAAACUGGCAGAUCACCUUAUCUGAAAUUUUAAGACUGGGAUCCAAUUGGAGCUUUACAUGAUUUAGUAACAUUUUACAACAGACAUUCUAAAUAACAUAUCUUUUGAAAUGCUUUUAUAUUUAGUAGUUAGUGGUAGCCAAUACAUGUCUUUAACCAUUUUCAUGUUAUCUUAUGGAGUUUCUAAUUAUGAAAGUCAUUACAUUUCAAACAUUGCUUUUUACAUGGUCCUACCAAGGUAAAUGUGGAUACUGUGUUACACAACAUUGUCAUUUUUGUCAUAAAGAUUAGACAAUAUUUUUCCUUUGCAUUUAUGCCUAACCAACCACAACACUGUUUCUAAACAAAGGCGAAAGGCCAUUUUACGGUAUACAGACAAGUAGGGUAAUAAACUGUUGCUUGCAAUUUCAGUUCAGCUAAAUGAAUAAUGAAUACUCUUUAUGUCUUCACUUUCAACUGAGCUAUUUGUCUAGUCAACAUGAUAAUUUUCAUUUUUUAUUAGGAAGAGGAUGAGGAUCCAUAACAGUAACUUCAUAUAUUGAGGCUCUUAUAGUAGCUGGCACAUUUCACUCAAAUCAUAUUAAGGUUUUUCUGGUGUAUCUUUUAUGUUUAGCAAUUUGACUGGUGUGAUUAUGUGGCACUAUGAANN
rnacentral:lncRNA from 1 species